GCUUUGGUGGGGUAGUGGUAACCUGGGUCGUUGCCAUGUGUGUCUCGUAUAACUUUGUUUCGACCCGCCGGGGGUUCGAUUCCCUCCCAAAGCA